GUGAAUCCGCGUCCCAUUAGCCAGUUGGUGGGGUAAAGGCCUACCAAAGCGACGAUGGGUAGCCGGCCUGAGAGGGUGACCGGCCACACUGGAACUGAGAUACGGUCCAGACUCCUACGGGAGGCAGCAGUAGGGAAUUUUCGGCAAUGGGCGCAAGCCUGACCGAGCAACGCCGCGUGAGUGAAGAAGGCCUUCGGGUUGUAAAGCUCUGUUGUAAGGGAAGAACUCUGACGGUACCUUACCAGAAAGCCACGGCUAACUACGUGCCAGCAGCCGCGGUAAUACGUAGGUGGCAAGCGUUAUCCGGAAUUAUUGGGCGUAAAGGGAGCGUAGGCGGUUUGAUAAGUCUGAGGUGAAAGUUCGGGGCUCAACUCCGGAUUGCCUUAGAAACUGUCAGACUAGAGUGCAGGAGAGGGCAAUGGAAUUCCAUGUGUAGCGGUAAAAUGCGUAGAUAUAUGGAGGAACACCAGUGGCGAAGGCGGUUGCCUGGCCUGUAACUGACGCUGAGGCUCGAAAGCGUGGGGAGCAAAUAGGAUUAGAUACCCUAGUAGUCCACGCUGUAAACGAUGAUUACUAAGUGUUGCGGGUAUUGACCCCUUCUGCCGCAGUUAACACAAUAAGUAUUCCACCUGGGGAGUACGAUCGCAAGGUUGAAACUCAAAGGAAUUGACGGGGGCCCGCACAAGCGGAGGAACAUGUGGUUUAAUUCGAUGAUACGCGAGGAACCUUACCUGGGCUGGGCUUAAAUGUAGAGCGACAGAUUGUGAAAGCAGUCCUUCUUCGGACGAUCUACAAGGUGCUGCAUGGUUGUCGUCAGCUCGUGCCGUGAGGUGUCGGGUUAAGUCCCAUAACGAGCGCAACCCUUAUCGUUAGUUGCCAGCGGAUCAUGCCGGGGACUCUAGCGAGACUGCCGGUGAUAAACCGGAGGAAGGUGGGGAUGACGUCAAAUCAUCAUGCCCCUUAUAUCUUGGGCUACACACGUGCUACAAUGGUCGGUACAACGAGUUGCUACCUAUGAUCUGGAGCAAAUCCCAAUAAACCGAUCCCAGUUCGGAUUGUAGGCUGCAACUCGCCUACAUGAAGUUGGAGUUGCUAGUAAUCGCGAAUCAGAACGUCGCGGUGAAUGCGUUCCCGGGUCUUGUACACACCGCCCGUCACACCAUGGGAGUAGGCAAUACCCGAAG
rnacentral:rRNA from 1 species